UACGAAGGGGGCUAGCGUUGUUCGGAAUUACUGGGCGUAAAGCGCACGUAGGCGGCUUUCUAAGUCGGGGGUGAAAUCCUGGAGCUCAACUCCAGAACUGCCUUCGAUACUGGAGAGCUCGAGUCCGGUAGGGGCCCACGGAAUUCCUGGUGUAGCGGUGAAAUGCGCAGAUAUCAGGAGGAACACCGAUGGCGAAGGCAGUGGGCUGGGCCGGCACUGACGCUGAGGAGCGAAAGCGUGGGGAGCGAACAGG
rnacentral:rRNA from 1 species